AACGAACGCUGGCGGCGCGCCUAAUACAUGCAAGUCGAGCGAGAGGGUGUAGCAAUACACUUGUAAAGCGGCGAACGGGUGAGGAAUGCAUGGGUAACCUACCCUCGAGUGGGGAAUAACUAGCCGAAAGGUUAGCUAAUACCGCAUACGUUUCCGGAACUUCGGUUUCGGAAAGAGAGCAAUACCGUGGGUAUUGCGCUCCUGGAUGGGCUCAUGUCCUAUCAGCUUGUUGGUGAGGUAACGGCUCACCAAGGCUUCGACGGGUAGCUGGUCUGAGAGGACGAUCAGCCACACUGGCACUGCGACACGGGCCAGACUCCUACGGGAGGCAGCAGUAAGGAAUAUUGCGCAAUGGACGAAAGUCUGACGCAGCGACGCCGCGUGGGGGAUGAAGGUCUUCGGAUUGUAAACCCCCUUUCGGGAGGGAAGAUGGAGUGGGUAACCACUUGGACGGUACCUCCAGAAGCAGCCACGGCUAACUUCGUGCCAGCAGCCGCGGUAAU
rnacentral:rRNA from 1 species